rnacentral:rRNA from 1 species
CCUACGGGAGGCAGCAGUAAGGAAUAUUGGUCAAUGGACGAAAGUCUGAACCAGCCAUGCCGCGUGAAGGAUUAAGGCCCUCUGGGUUGUAAACUUCUUUUAUCUGGGACGAAAAAAGGGUAUUCUUACUCACUUGACGGUACCAGAGGAAUAAGCACCGGCUAACUCCGUGCCAGCAGCCGCGGUAAUACGGAGGGUGCAAGCGUUAUCCGGAUUUACUGGGUUUAAAGGGUGCGUAGGUGGGCUUGUAAGUCAGUGGUGAAAUCUCCGGGCUUAACCCGGAAACUGCCAUUGAUACUAUAGGUCUUGAAUUAUCUGGAGGUAAGCGGAAUAUGUCAUGUAGCGGUGAAAUGCUUAGAUAUGACAUAGAACACCAAUUGCGAAGGCAGCUUACUACGGAUACAUUGACACUGAGGCACGAAAGCGUGGGGAUCAAACAGGAUUAGAUACCCUGGUAGUCCACGCCCUAAACGAUGGAUACUCGACAUCAGCGAUACACUGUUGGUGUCUGAGCGAAGANAUAGUAUCCACCNGGAGUACGANCGCAGAUAGAACACAANAGAGUAGACGCGUGAGAGUAGCGACGACGACGACGAGGGAGGAGG